UGCGUAGGAUCCGAGCGUUGUCCGGAUUUACUGGGUGUAAAGGGUGCGCAGGCGGACUGGUAAGUCAGAGGUGAAAUCUCGUCGCUUAACGACGAAACUGCCUUUGAUACUAUCAGUCUUGAGUCCGGUAGAGAUCUGUGGAAUUCCGAGUGUAGCAGUGAAAUGUGUAGAUAUUCGGAAGAACACCAGUGGCGAAGGCAGCAGAUUGGGCCGGUACUGACGCUCAGGCACGAAAGCAUGGGGAUCAAACAGG
rnacentral:rRNA from 1 species